UGGGGAAUAUUGGACAAUGGGGGCAACCCUGAUCCAGCAAUGCCGCGUGUGUGAAGAAGGUCUUCGGAUUGUAAAGCACUUUCGACGGGGACGAUGAUGACGGUACCCGUAGAAGAAGCCCCGGCUAACUUCGUGCCAGCAGCCGCGGUAAUACGAAGGGGGCUAGCGUUGCUCGGAAUGACUGGGCGUAAAGGGCGUGUAGGCGGUUUACACAGUCAGAUGUGAAAUCCCCGGGCUUAACCUGGGAGCUGCAUUUGAUACGUGUAGACUAGAGUGUGAGAGAGGGUUGUGGAAUUCCCAGUGUAGAGGUGAAAUUCGUAGAUAUUGGGAAGAACACCGGUGGCGAAGGCGGCAACCUGGCUCAUGACUGACGCUGAGGCGCGAAAGCGUGGGGAGCAAACAGGAUUAGAUACCCUGGUAGUCCACGCU
rnacentral:rRNA from 1 species